rnacentral:rRNA from 1 species
AUUGAACGCUGGCGGCAUGCCUUACACAUGCAAGUCGAACGGUAACAGGUCUUCGGAUGCUGACGAGUGGCGAACGGGUGAGUAAUACAUCGGAACGUGCCUAGUAGUGGGGGAUAACUACUCGAAAGAGUGGCUAAUACCGCAUGAGAUCUACGGAUGAAAGCAGGGGCUCGCAAGACCUUGUGCUACUAGAGCGGCCGAUGGCAGAUGAGGUAGUUGGUGGGAUAAAAGCUUACCAAGCCGACGAUCUGUAGCUGGUCUGAGAGGACGAUCAGCCACACUGGGACUGAGAAACGGCCCAGACUCCUACGGGAGGCAGCAGUGGGGAAUUUUGGACAAUGGGCGCAAGCCUGAUCCAGCAAUGCCGCGUGCAGGAUGAAGGCCUUCGGGUUGUAAACUGCUUUUGUACGGAACGAAAAGCCCCGGGUUAAUACCCUGGGGUCAUGACGGUACCGUAAGAAUAAGCACCGGCUAACUACGUGCCAGCAGCCGCGGUAA